AACGAACGCUGGCGGCAUGCCUAACACAUGCAAGUCGAACGAAGUCUUCGGACUUAGUGGCGCACGGGUGCGUAACGCGUGGGAAUCUGCCCUUGGGUGCGGAAUAACUUCUCGAAAGGGAUGCUAAUACCGCAUAAUGUCGUAAGACCAAAGAUUUAUCGCCCAAGGAUGAGCCCGCGUAAGAUUAGCUAGUUGGUGGGGUAAAAGCCUACCAAGGCGACGAUCUUUAGCUGGUCUGAGAGGAUGAUCAGCCACACUGGGACUGAGACACGGCCCAGACUCCUACGGGAGGCAGCAGUGGGGAAUAUUGGACAAUGGGCGAAAGCCUGAUCCAGCAAUGCCGCGUGAGUGAUGAAGGCCCUAGGGUUGUAAAGCUCUUUUACCAGGGAUGAUAAUGACAGUACCUGGAGAAUAAGCUCCGGCUAACUCCGUGCCAGCAGCCGCGGUAAU
rnacentral:rRNA from 1 species